AGGGCGUCCGGGGCGCAGUCCCCGGCGCGGCUGAGGGACAAAGAUCGGGCCGCAGCCUCCCUCCCCGGGGUCCCCGGCGGCUCAGCCCCUCGCCCCCUGCGACGAGUCGACGCCAGGCCCGGAGCGUUGGGGCCGCAACCGGCCACCCGGCUUCUGCUCACCUGCGGUCUCGCCGCCUCUCCGUGCCUGGGCCGCCGGCCCGCAGCGCCUCCCCGGGGCAGCCUAGCGCCCGCAGCCCGCAACCCGCAGCGGAGCCCGUUGCCUUGGCGACCUGGGCUGCCGAACUCCCGCGGCACUCGCGCUACGGCGGCUCGGAUGGGACCAGGACGGUUCGCGUCCCCUUCCGCAGCCGCGGAGGGGGCAGAGGAGGGACGAGGCAAACUUUGAGUCUCAUUCCAUUUCUGCAAAAGAUGAAUUUGGAAUACAUUUUCAAGGAAUCCAGGAAAUAACAUCCCCAAAUAUGCCACACUGGUAUGAUGAUUGCUUGGGGAACAGCACAUGGACAGAGGGGUUUUCAUGAAUUUCCCUUAUCAGACUAAAGGCUGACAAUCCAGAAGGAAUUCAAUAUGAAUCCCCUUCCAGAGAGUUUUAUCAAUCAGGGAAGAUUAACACACCACAGAAGAAGAGAUUGAAGUGUGACACCUCGUUGUCCAGACAUCAUCGUUUGCCACAUUCCACCUAAACUAUUAUAUAUAUCUUUGCACAAUGAAUACAAAUGAUGUAAGGAAUGACACCUUCACAGCUCCUGCAACCCCAGGAUGGUUUAGCCCCGCCUUCCCCCUCAGCCAAUGACAGGCGCCCCCUCUGCCGCUCCGGUCAAGGACGGUGGGCGGGGCCACGCCGUGACGCAUCCGUGCGUCUGUGGAAGGCUGCGUUUCCGGCCUGAGAAACCGUCGUGUUUCUGGGGAGACGGCUCAGCUGGCAGUUAGCACCGUGUUAGAAAGCAGCCUCAGGACCGGCCACCUUCGUCACUGGCGUCACCAUGGGGGCUGUGCUGGGUGUCUUCUCCCUCGCCAGCUGGGUUCCAUGCCUCUGCAGCGGUGCCUCAUGUUUGCUGUGUAGUUGCUGUCCUAACAGUAAGAAUUCCACGGUGACUCGCCUCAUUUAUGCUUUCAUUCUCCUCCUGAGCACUGUCGUAUCCUAUAUCAUGCAGAGAAAAGAGAUGGAAACUUACUUGAAGAAGAUUCCUGGAUUUUGUGAAGGGGGAUUUAAAAUCCAUGAGGCUGAUAUAAAUGCAGAUAAAGAUUGUGAUGUGCUGGUUGGUUAUAAAGCUGUGUAUCGGAUCAGCUUUGCCAUGGCCAUCUUUUUCUUUGUCUUUUCUCUGCUCAUGUUCAAAGUAAAAACAAGUAAAGAUCCCCGAGCAGCAGUACACAAUGGGUUUUGGUUCUUCAAAAUUGCUGCUCUUAUUGGAAUCAUGGUUGGAUCUUUCUACAUCCCUGGGGGCUAUUUCAGCUCAGUCUGGUUUGUUGUUGGCAUGAUAGGGGCCGCCCUCUUCAUCCUCAUUCAGCUGGUGCUGCUGGUAGAUUUUGCUCAUUCUUGGAAUGAAUCAUGGGUAAAUCGAAUGGAAGAAGGAAACCCAAGGUUGUGGUAUGCUGCUUUACUGUCUUUCACAAGCGCCUUUUAUAUCCUGUCAAUCAUCUGUGUCGGGCUGCUCUAUACAUACUACACCAAACCAGAUGGCUGCACAGAAAACAAGUUCUUCAUCAGUAUUAACCUGAUCCUUUGCGUUGUGGCUUCUAUUAUAUCGAUCCACCCAAAAAUUCAGGAACACCAGCCUCGCUCCGGCCUCUUGCAAUCCUCCGUCAUCACCCUCUACACUAUGUACCUCACCUGGUCAGCCAUGUCCAAUGAACCUGAUCGUUCCUGCAAUCCCAACCUGAUGAGCUUUAUUACACGCAUAACUGCACCAACGCUGGCUCCUGGAAAUUCAACUGCUGUGGUCCCUACCCCUACUCCACCAUCAAAGAGUGGGUCUUUACUGGAUUCAGAUAAUUUUAUUGGACUGUUUGUCUUUGUUCUCUGCCUUUUGUAUUCUAGCAUCCGCACUUCCACUAAUAGCCAAGUAGACAAGCUGACCCUGUCAGGGAGUGACAGCGUCAUCCUUGGCGAUACAACUACCAGUGGUGCCAGUGAUGAAGAAGAUGGACAGCCUCGGCGGGCUGUGGACAACGAGAAAGAGGGAGUGCAGUAUAGCUACUCCUUAUUCCACCUCAUGCUCUGCUUGGCUUCCUUGUACAUCAUGAUGACCCUGACCAGCUGGUACAGCCCUGAUGCAAAGUUUCAGAGCAUGACCAGCAAGUGGCCAGCUGUGUGGGUCAAGAUCAGCUCCAGCUGGGUCUGCCUCCUGCUUUACGUCUGGACCCUUGUGGCUCCACUUGUCCUCACCAGUCGGGACUUCAGCUGAACCUCUGAGUGCCAAGGACACCACUGAAACUCACAAAGGUCUCCUUCACCGAAAACCCAUAUACCUUUUAAGUUUGCUUCAACUAAAAUGUUAAGUGAAUGCUUUGCAAGUUUGACUGUAUCCAGGUUUAUAUCAGAAGGCACCCAACUCAUUGAUGUCCUAAUUACUGCUGGAUGACUCAAGCCACACCAUGCCUAUGUUCUCAGGUGAAGAAGAAUAAUAGAAACCACAUAGAUGGGUAGGUGUACCAAGCAUUAAACAGACAGUAUCCACAUGCCUGUAAGGUGGUGAUUAUUUCCCUCCCUCCUUCCUUUUACGUAUCAGUUUGAGGCUUAGAGAAGUUCAUGACUUGCCUAUGGUUACUCAGUAAGAGGUGAAACAGAGAAACCCAGGGCUUGGCUUAAGAGUUCUUUUUUCAAUUAGACCUCAGUGUCUCUUGGCCCUUAAGAAUAUAAGAGACAACAUUUAUUAGAGACAUGUAGGGGAGUCGUCUGGCUCACUAAUGACUCAUCACCAACUCACCAGAUCUACCAUGGGGAACCUAGUUUUUGUCUACUCUCAGGCACAGAGUGUUUGCUGCUCUACCCAUCACUGACAAAGUCAAGUUAGUAGUCACCUGAAGGCAGUGACUCAUGUCUUUUACUAGGUCAGCUAUCCCUAGUGGCUGGCACCUACUCAGGAAAAAGCAUGAAUAUUAGGUUAAAAAUGUUUUCCCCAGAAGAGUGGUACCCUAAAGGGUCUUAUUACUUACCGUUUAAAUGCGAUAAUGUGAAACUUUAUUGCCAUUGAGUGUAUGGGUACCAAACCAGUACUGUGUAAGGAGGGGGCAGGGUACAUCAAGAAAAUACUGACUCAUGGAAAAGGGCCUCAUAAGACUGCUGUGAGAGAAAAGGAUUUUAACAGUUAGCUUCAUUUUUCUAUAUGUGAGAAACAGACUGAACUUAAGUUCCACAAUUUCCUCAGGAAAGGCUGACCUGAAGGGGUGGUUAUGCUGCAAUACAAGUACUUAACCUGUUGUGUCAUCAAAAGUGUACCUCCUGUGUUAAGAGUAUUUCUCAACUGACUCAUCAAGUCACCAGAUCUACCAUGGGGACCUAGUUUUUGUCUACUCUGGGGCACAGAGUACCAAACAAACAGGGGACAUAGAAACAGCUUAGCAAGCCUGGGACCAGAGUUGGGCAAGCCAUGCUCCAGUUACCCCUCAAGGAGUCUGGGCUUACUUCUGGAAUAAAAUGUCACAACUUGGGUUUAAGAGAGGUUAACAACCACUGCUUGUAUUUUCAAGAAGCCAGGAAAAAAGUCAAUUUCUGGUACUUUCUUACUCUAUGAAAGAGUCCUGCCUUCUCUCUCUCUUCUAUCUGGGGACUGGUUAUUUGUCUCCAGCCAUCAGGAGAAAACAGUGGGCUUGUCACACUUCCUGGGUUUGAAUCCCAUCGUUAGUAUUUGGCUAGUUGUGUGUCACUGGGCAAGCUACAUUUUGCCAACAGGAACAGUAAUGCAGCUUCAUUAAGGGUAACUGAAGGUUAAAAUACAUUAUUUAUGAGUGUCCUUAACACAUGUGUGCCCAGCCCACAUGCACAUUGAGGAAAUGGCUGGCUAUCACUGGAAAGACUCAAGGCCAGUCCAAGAAGUAUAGCUGGGCCUCAAGAAUGUAAAAUUUGCAUAUCACCUCUCCAUACUGCAGCAGUCUAAUUGUGUAUGAUCUUCGGAGGCAGCCAGCGCAUCUACAGAAUGCACUGUCCUAUCACAGUGCCCCUCCCUCCCUCACCUGCAGAGGAGGCGGUCUACCCAGGCUGUGAAUAAUGAACCUUGGAACCUUUAUCCAAACUGUCAUCAUCACAAAAGAACCCCAUGCACAUUUUUCAGAGAUUUUUAUUGUUUCAGACUCAAGUCAUGCAUACUAAAAUUACAUAUUUUCACCACUUUGACUUAGAAAAUGCACUAGAAAAAUAAACUUUGGUCAAAACAAACAGUGAAGUACACGAAUUCACCAUGUAUCCCUAUACUCAAACCCAAACUGAAUUUCAGUUUGAAGCAAGGAAUGUGACCAGUGGCUGAAACUGCCCCAAGCUGGUCAGAAAAUUAGCUUACCUCCCACUCCAUCAGAGGCUCUUCGUCAGAGAGGUUUCAAGUAUUUCACUUGUAACAGGUUCCUACCUGAUAUGCCAAGAAGCCGAGGCAUAGCUACAAGAAUCCACAGCAGCUUCUCCUCACUGCCUCACUAAACCUGCUGCCCAGUGAGAUGAAAAGAAAAACAGCCCCAUGAAACAGGAAUUUCAUCACUAUCAUCUCCAUCCACAAAUCACAUUGAUCCUUCCCAUGAAGCAAGCUCCUAUUGACUCUGAUGAUGUUUGUUACUAGCAUUUUAAGCAAACCAUUUCUCUAAGUCAGGAGAGCAGAAGAAUAAAUUUAUUUAUUUGACACGGAAUAUUGCUUUGUCACCCAGGCUGGAGCACAGUGGCACAAUCUUGGCUUACUGCAACCGCUGCCUCCCGGGUUCAAGCGAUUCUCCUGCCUCAGCCUCCCAAGUAGCUGGGAUUACAGGCACGCACCACCACACCCAGCUAAUUUUUGUACUUUUUAGUAGAGACGGGGUUUCACCAUGUUGGCCAGGCUGGUCUCAAACUCCUGACCUCAAAUGAUCCACCCCCCUUCAGCCUCCCAAAGUUCUGGGAUUACAGGGCAUGAGCUACUGCACCUGGCCAAGAGCAGAAGAAUUUAGAUUUACAAAAUUAACAGAUCCCAAUACAGAGAGGUGUUACCAGAACUGACAUCUUUCCUGAACAGUAGACAUGUUUCUGUUCAGUAUAGCCACACCUCUCAUGGCCACAGGAGAUACAUUGUAUAGUAUAUAGUAUGUAAUUGGUUUAGCUAACAUUUUACUCCCUAAAUUAAAGGAGGCUUCAGAGGAAAACUUUAAAUGUUGGCAACUUUAAAAUGGUAAAACUUUUUAAAAGUAUUAUAAUCGCCACAGCAGUACUCUAGCUUUUGCUACCCAAAUGAAAAAAAAUCCCAUGAUUGAUCUAAGAGUCAAAUACUAUUUAAAGAAAUUGCCCACCCAGGGAGAAUUCUGAAAGGCUCAAUAUAAAGGAAUUCAGAGAAAAGCCUCUUAUUGUCUUAUUUCGGGAAAAAUGGUGUUUUGUAACCUGAUUUUUAAAUUUUUAUUUUUAUUUUUGAGAUGGAGUUUCACUCAUCACCCAGGCUAGAGUGCAAUGGCGCGAUGUCGGCUCACUGCAACCUCCGCCACCUGGGUUUAAGUGAUUCUCCUGCCUCAGCCUCCCAAGUAGCUGGGAUUACAGGUGCCCGCCACCAUGCCCAGCCAAUUUUUUGUAUUUUUAGUAGAGACGGGGUUUCACCAUGUUGGCCAGGCUGGUGUCAAACUCCUGACUUCAGGUGAUCCACCUGCCACAGCCGCCCAAAGUGUUGGGAUUACAGGUGUGAGCCACCGCGCCGGCCUUGUAACCUGACUUACAGACCUCCUAAAAUAAGUGACUCCUUAUGAAACCAGGAUGAAAUAUGAAAGAUCUAAAGCUACUUUUGCCUUAAUUUUUGCAGCAGCAAUAGAAUAAAAAAGAAAAUGCAAGGAAAAAAAUUAAAAAAUAAAGCAACCUUUGCCAAGAGCAAGUUAGAAACUCAAGACAUGAAGCCAGAGUGGCACUUUUGGCUGUUUGUGUAGAUUUCAUCCAGUCUCUCCCCCAUGAAGGCAGAACAGGGGAAGAAGCACAAUUUUCCAGAAUUCCAUGUUGGGAUAUGGGGGAAGAAGAGAAAGAAAAUUCCCAUAUUCUGAAAUGUAUAGAUUUGGAAGCUUUUAGGUACCCAAUUCAUUCAGACCUAAAUUUACUAAAUAACAAGCCAAUUGAGGGGGAAAAAAAGGAAAAAAGCUUCUAAAAAGAAAGAGUACAGUGUCUCUGUGGCAGUGAAGCCAACUAGAUACCAGGAGUGAAGUUUGGAGUAUAGAUCUCUAUCAUAGAAUCACACAGGGAUGUUAAGCCAGCUCAUCCAAGGCCACGUAGUGAGGUAAAGGUGGAGCCCACGUCUCCUAAUUUACUGUCCCAUUUCCUUCCGACACCACACUACCUUGAAUUUAGGGAAAAGUUAAUUUCCAAGUGUUUGUGCAAUGGGCCAGAACUUCUCCCUGAAGGAACACACUCCCAGCUCUUGAGGUUCAUGUGUUUGCCUCACCAGUACGCUCCCCAGUGCUGAGUAAGGCUCACUGUGCUCCCUCGCUGGUCAUUCCCCACCUUGCUGAGACAGCCUGACACAAACACCCUGGUGAAGCCACAAGGAGACCACCUUGAUUUUCACGCAGGGAGGUCUUGGUUUCACAGCUUGGUUCAAGUUUCCUGAGGUGUCAAAACUAUUUGAUACCUCUUUGGAGCCAAAACAAAGCAAGCAGCUCCCAGAGGCAGAUAAACUUAGGCUCCAACUCCUUCUAGAAGCUGAGUGAAACCACUCCUUCCUUGUCCAACUGGAAAAACCUAAGAAAUAGGCUUCUCCAAGUCCCUUCUGGUCUUUGAGAGAAUUCUCUAGGAGAGCUCUGGCCAUGCCUACAUUAAAACAAAUGCGACUGGCCAGGAAUGCAGUGUAGAACUGAAACAUCAGGGCUGAGUGAUUCAUUCCUCUUUACCCAGUUUUUGUUUUGUUUUGUUUAUCUGUCUUCCCUCUUGGGGAAGUCUCCACCCAGUUCUCCCAUCUAGGCCACUGGGUUCUGAACCCCCUCCUUCCCUCCUUUAGCUAUCCCACUUGCCCUACUUGGGCCUUUUCAGCAGUGUGGGUCACAUCAUUGUCAGAUGGAACCAGAAGCAGCCAGGAGUGCUUUUUGGCACUUCCAGCUCAGCCAGGACCCUAGAGGAUCCAGGGUUACUAUCCAUGGUGAAAAGAACUUUCUCUAGAAUUGGUAUUAAUGAGGUUAAGUAACUUAAAAUUUCCACCAACAACUUAUCCAGACAUUUAAAAAGGCAACAGAGAUAAACAGCUUAGUAACAACAGACUGGCCUUCAAAUUUCAGAGUAUUGUUUUCUCCCUAACUGAGCUGUCUGCCUUGACUGGUUAGUCUAAUAAAUGCACGGAGAAGGUGCACACACAACACAGUACUUUUCACUAUUUAACACCAUGAUCGUGUGGAAUACAUUAGAAAGGAAACAGGUCAAAAACCAUCAUGUGAACCAUCUAAUUUGAUGUUUGGGCUAAGGCUAAAAUCUUCACAGGGAGGUUCUAAAGUGCUGAAAUGCAGAACAUUCAGGCUGACUGGUUCACCCACACCAGAGAGAGAAACUCAAGUGGGGCUGGGAGGGCAGGGGGGCCCAGAAGUGACCCAGCAAUAACCUGUGCUUGUGUUCAUUUCCAAAGACCAAAAAAAAAAAAAAAAAUUUUUUUUUUUUUUUUGAGGCAGAGUCUUGCUCUGUCGCCCAGGCUGGAGUGCAGUGGUGCAGUCUUGGCUCACUGCCACUUCUGCCUCCUGGGUUCAGGCGAUUCUUCUGCCUCAGCCUCCCGAGUAGCUGGGACUACAGGAGCCCGCCACCACGUCCAGCUAAUUUUUGUAUUUUUAGUAGAGAUGGGGUUUCACCAUCUUGGCCAGGCGGGUCUCGAACUCCUGACCUUGUGAUCCGCCCACCUUGGCCUCCCAAAGUGCUGGGAUUACAGGCAUAAGCCACCCCGCCCGUCCCAGAGACCAAAAUUAAAGAAUCUCAAGUAAUUAACUACUGUAGCCAGGUUUACAAUAUAGUACCAGAGUCUCAGGGAUGGAAGGAAUUCAUCAUACAAGAUCCUGGUCACCUUACC